UACGUAGGGUGCGAGCGUUGUCCGGAAUUAUUGGGCGUAAAGAGCUCGUAGGCGGCUUGUCGCGUCGACUGUGAAAACUCGGGGCUCAACUCCGAGCUUGCAGUCGAUACGGGCAGGCUAGAGUUCGGUAGGGGGAGACUGGAAUUCCUGGUGUAGCGGUGAAAUGCGUAGAUAUCAGGAGGAACACCGGUGGCGAAGGCGGUUCUCUGGGCAUUACCUGACGCUGAGGAGCGAAAGUGUGGGGAGCGAACAGG
rnacentral:rRNA from 1 species